CUGUUAAGGGUUACUCUGAUGGGAUAUGGGUAUAUGUAUCCCCCUGACCUGAGGCUGGCUCGAUGACUAGGAAGCAACUUACUAUGUUUUGGUGCUGGACUAUCUGAAUUUCUAAUUCGAUGAUGGAAGAUUUUUGGAUAUAGUCAAGUACUUGUGAAAUCUGAGUACGAGUCAAUAUGGGAAUGACCGCUCCAAGUAAAAUUAGAGAUGAUGCAUCACUGUAUUUUAAUUCAGUAAAAUUUUGGUCAAAGUAGUCCUA
rnacentral:lncRNA from 1 species